rnacentral:rRNA from 1 species
CUACGGGGGGCACCAGUCGAGAAUCUUCUGCAAUGCGCGCAAGCGUGACAGAGCGAGCCAGAGUGCUUUUCUAUUUGAAAAGCUUUUGCUAAAUUUAAAAAGUUUGGCGAAUAAGGACUGGGUAAGACGGGUGCCAGCCGCCGCGGUAAUACCCGCGGUCCAAGUCGCAGCCAUUUUUAUUGGGUCUAAAACAUCCGUAGCUUGUUUGAAAAGUUUCUUGUGAAAUCCUAUGUCUUAAACAUGGGGCGGGCAAGAAAUACUAUCAGGCUAGAGACUGGGAGACGUAAAGAGUAUGUUCGAAGUAAUGGUAAGAUAUGUUAAUCUCGAACAGACUAACAACAGCGAAGGCACUUUACGAGAACAGUUCUGACAGUGAGGGAUGAAGGCUAGGGGCGCAAAACGGAUUAGAUACCCGAGUAGUC